AAAUUGAAGAGUUUGAUCAUGGCUCAGAUUGAACGCUGGCGGCAGGCCUAACACAUGCAAGUCGAACGGUAACAGGAAGCAGCUUGCUGCUUUGCUGACGAGUGGCGGACGGGUGAGUAAUGUCUGGGAAACUGCCUGAUGGAGGGGGAUAACUACUGGAAACGGUGGCUAAUACCGCAUAACGUCGCAAGACCAAAGAGGGGGACCUUCGGGCCUCUUGCCAUCAGAUGUGCCCAGAUGGGAUUAG
rnacentral:rRNA from 10 species